CCUUGCGGGGACCUCCACAGCCCGAAGAUGUCGCCAGCGGCCCCCGGCGCAGCCACGACGCGUCGCCUUUCAGCUCCUAGCGCUUCCCCACAAAAGCCAGACAACAAUAUCAAUUAAUCAUGCAGCGGGCAAACAAGGAGAUUUAUCCCGCGACAAACAGCCCCACGGAGAGUCGUUGAAUGGGCGUGAUUAGCAUGUGAAAAGACGAGCAAAACUCCGUGGUUCAACAGCUAAAGAGCAAUUUGAUGGGACUGGGAUGGGGAAAUUACUUGAUUAGCGUCCGUCGGAGGAGAGCACGGUUACAGCCCCUCUGCCUGGAAUCCAACUGCGGAACAAAACGCGCUGUGUCUGCGAGGAGAAGUGAAUUCUCUGAAAGGGUAAUUGUCUGCUGAUGGUGUUUCCAUUAUACCCGAUCUUGGCCUAAAUGAUGUUGGGCAGCAGGGCGGAGAGUGAGGGGUGAAAUCAAUGUUGAAACCAACUAGCGCUCCGGUGGAAGAAAAGAUCCCUCUAGAUCGCUUACCCGCAAGUCCUGCAGAACAAUGCCGCCGGUUGCACCACCGAUUUGGACGGCUGUUCUGCAGAUCUCCGACAUCAUCAAACUGAAGUGAUCUUGGGGGUAAGAGAGUAAAAACUAACUCUCCUUUAGAAACUUUAGGAAUCCUUAGCAUCUUGGUAUCGUUGAGUCAGCAGAUAACCUGGAAAAUAAAACCCAGUAUAUAAAACCCAUUAUGACCAUGUUUCCACCUUCCUAUCCCGUUAGUACUGAAAACACAGAGUAGUUUUUUCCAAGGCACAUUCUGUCUAGGGCUCUAGGCCUCUCCCUGUUGGGUCUUCCUGGAAAGGUCUUGCUUUUACCAGGCACUCGGUAGUUAUGUAAUAGUGUGCAUUGUCUUGUAGAUAGAGAACAGUUAGCAUCGGACUUGAAAAAAUGUUCUCUGUAGAUCCAAGCCACUGUUUCCUGUAGAACCUGAUACAGGGUUAGCUGAAUAAAACACCUACUUGAAACAAAAUGAAGGAAGGGGUUUAGAAACUGAAACAAAAUUGACCGGCUGGAAACCACUUGUUGGCCUUAGGGCAUGUCAGUACCCCAGAGUCAAACAAAGGCAAUAUUUGGGGCCUGCCUUUCUUGAAAAUUCUGCCGUAUCUACUUAGGCAACAGCUUUGACCGUAAACCCUUUUUAAUUAUUACGAAUGCACCUUGAGGGGAGUGGCCUCUUUAGAGUCUGAGUCGGGGCAGAAGAAGGAGCGACCGUGGGAGGAGGAUGCAGCCAGAGUUUAAGUCACUUAGGACCAAGGACCAAAGCAGCUUUCACCGCCCCACCCCCUUCAGAAUUUGUUUCUUCCCUAAGGAAGAAUAUCUUGAAACUGUCAAAUUCUACAUCUGUUAACUUGGAGGCAUUUCAGGUCAACUCUCUUAAUACCUGUGUCUUGCUUCUGCUUUAGAUGGGGUCUGCUCCAGGAGGGCCUGCCCACUCCUCGCUAAACGGUAAAGCCUAAAAUAUGAUCAUGAAAUAAGAUGUGGCUCUCCCCGUGUCCCACCGCUGCCUCUCAGGACCCCUCUAAGGCUGCAGUCCCCAGCGCAGACACUCGGCUGGGCUGAACUGCAAAGGCCUUUAGCCACCUGCCUCACUGUGUAGCUGCCGCCUCGGCCAAGUGACAGCCCCAGUCCUUUUACUCAGCGCUGCGCUCACUUUUCUUGGGAGACCCACUGACCUUGAGAAGGCGCGGACCCACGGCGGCGAAGCCAAGCCAGGCAACAUCCGAAGCAGGAGUGCGCGGCUCAAGCGCUGCCUGUACCCGCUGGCUGAUCCGUGUCCUCCACCGCUGUCGGGAGAUUUUCCUCAGGAGGGUGAAUUUGACUGAAUCCCAACCUCUUCUUUAUUCACUGUGUGAUGGUGUGAAGUUGAGGUGUCUGAAAUACAGAUGGAGACAGAUCAAUGAAGACAUUUCCAAGGAUGGCUUCCUUAACUCCAGUGCAAUGAGACUGUCUUGUUUUUGUGCACAAUACAAAUGCAAAUAAAGAAAAAAAAUAAAUGUUUUCAGUUAAAUGCC